GGGUGCGUAGCUCAGGGGAUAGAGCACCAGAUUCCGGUUCUGGGUGUCGAGGGUUCGAAUCCUUCCGUACCCG
rnacentral:tRNA from 1 species